rnacentral:lncRNA from 10 species
GUUUUAUAUGAUUGUGGUAGGCAGAAAAUGGCAUCCCCAAAAGGUCCAAAUCCUAAUCCCCAGAACCGUGAAGGUGUUCCCUUACAUGGUAAAAGCGUCUUUGCAGAUGUGAUGAAAUUAAAGAUCUUGAGAUGGGCAGAUUAUCUUGGGUUCUCUAAGGGGGGCCAACAAAAUCUCAAGGUCUUUAUCAAGGAAAGAGGUAGGGAGGAAAGUCAGUUAGAGAAUGUGUGAGGAUGCUUACACUGGUGGCCUUGAAGAUGGAAGUAGGGGCCACGAGCCCAGGAAUGGAGACAGCCUCUAGAAGUUGGGAAAGGCAAGGAAAUGAAUUCUCCCCUAGAGCCUACAGAGAGAGAGAGCUGCCAACACCUUGAUUUUAUCCCAGUGAAAUCCAUUUUGGACUUCUGACCUCUGAAACUGUAAGAUAAUAAAUGUGUUAUUUUAAUCUACUAUGUGUGGUAAUGUAUUCAUUUGUUACAGCAGCAACAGGAAACAGAUACACUGUAUCUGAUUGGUUAAUGUGUUUCGAUCCAGGCAAAUAUCCAACUUCAAGCUACAAAAGCCAAUGCCCGCAGCAGCCUUGUUCCUGGCAACCAGACCUCUCCACUGCUGAAUCAGAAAGCUAUUAAUAGUCCAAAGACCCACCAUCCACGGAGGCCAACUUGGCCUUCUCCAACAAGGAAGCUAACAGGUCACUGGAUAGAUGGUCCCUUUGGAUCACGUGCUCAUCCCUGGCCCAGUCAGCUGUGAUCAGAGGAGCAAGACCGUGAGAUAAGGCUUGAAACCUAAGGAAUUUCAAAGAGGGGGCCAUGAUGGGCAUUCAGCGGCAUCUCAGGAGGGGGCAGAGUAACCAGCAGAUUGGGAAACCCAGGUAACAGUGCAUAGAUGAAUUGCCUAAGGUUCUGCUUCUAGUUGGUGUCCUGCGAAUCAGUUCAGCCCAGAGAACUCAUCACUACCAGGCCCAGUUGAAGAGUCUUGCUCCGUUGCUCAGGCUGGCGCGAUCUCGGCUCACUGCAAGCUCCGCCUCCCGGGUUCGCACCACUCUCCUGCCUCAGCCUCCCGAGCAGCUGGGGCUACAGGCGCCGCCACCACGCCCGGCUAAUUUUUUGUAUUUUUAGUAGAGACGGGGUUUCACCGUGUUAGCCAGGAUGGUCUGGAUCUCCUGACCUCGUGAUCCGCCCACCUCGAUCCUCUUAAAUUUUAAGUCCAAACAUGUCACGUUUUUGCUCAAAACCCUCCAAUGGUUUCCCAAAUCAUUCAGCACAAAAACCAAAGUCCCUCUAAUUACUUAUAAUACUCUCCCCCAACCUACCAUCCCUAACCUCAUCACUAAUACUCUUAUACUUAAUCAUCUGCUACAGCCUACAAUUUCCUCUGCUGUUCCUCAAACAUCCCAAAGAUUUUGUCACCUGAAGGUCUUUGCAUGUUCUGCCUCCUCGUCCUGGAAAGCUUUUCCCCAAAUACCAUUUUGUCUCUGCCUUCAGAUUUUUGAUCAAAUGUCACCUUGCUCCCAAAGUUUUCUCUGGCCAUGCUAUUUAAAGUACAAUGCUCUGCUCCACUCCUUGCAAUCUCAAUGCCUCUGUCCUGCUUUAGUUUUCCUUUGUAGCUGUUAUCAUCAACUGACAUAGAGAUUGCUUAUGUAUUUUGUCGUUUUCUGUCUCCUCACAUUAGGAACUAGGGUUCGUGAGAGUGGGGGUUUUGUAGGCUUUGGAAAUUAGUAUUUCUUUAGCAACAAGAACAGUGUAUAUGGCAGACACUCAAUAAAUCCUUGCUUUAAAAAGUAACAGUGUAUCAUGAUAAAAAUACAUAGGCACAUGAAUGAAAUAUAAAUACAAUGGUAUCCAUCUCCAAUAUGUUCUCCAAUGAUCUUUACCUGCUGCUAAAGAAUUAGUGUAGUCCUCCUCUCCAUUGUAUCAGGGUUAAUCUGUGUAACCAAUAGAUUAUGUAAUGUUGUGUGACCUCUGAGACUAGAUUGUAAAAAAUAGUACAGUUUCUAUUUUGUUCUCUUGGAUCACUGACUCUGAGGGAAGCCAGUGACAAUGGGGACACUCAGCAGCCCUGUGGAGUGGGUCAUGUGGCAUGUAAUUAAGACUUCCAUCCAGCCAAU